GCCCUGGUAACUCAGUUGGUUAGAGCGUUAUCCUGAUACACCAAGGUUGUGGGUUCAAUCCCCAGUUAGGGCA
rnacentral:tRNA from 1 species